AAUUCUCACCAAGCAAGUGUUUCACUCAAUCACUCAAGUGUUUAAGGUAACACUCCAACUCUCUGUUAUUCACAAGUCACAUGAAACAAAAUUGCCAUUCAUCUCAAACAAUCCAAAUCUUCACAUGCAAAUGUCAUCAUAAGGACUUUUCUAAUGCUUGUAUUGAGGCUGGGCUAACAAGAAAAAUUGGUUUUUCUUGAAUGCAAAAUCCUUGAGUUAAGAGAGCUCCAAUAAUAUUCAACAUUUAAGCACAACUUUCUACCUCGCCAAUCUCACUUAUUCCCAACUUCUUCCCUUUUCUUUUAUUUUUACAUUGAGCUCAUCUUCAUGCUUUUCUUCUUUUCUUUUCUUUUUCUCAUGCAUUUUUCUUUCUCAACAUUUGAGCUCAAUGCUUUUCAAUUGCCUUUCAAUUUCCCCCAUACAACCCCAAACUUGAACCUUUCCAACACAUACAGUUAAGCUCAACCCAACUCAAGGGAAAAAAUUUCAAAUCAAGGGUUCUCAUCCUGUUUAAGGCUAAGGUUCAAAAAGGGUAUAAUAUUUCGAGCACUUUGGGUGAAAAUUUGGCUAGAGAAGGGUUUUCAAAAAUGGCCUUGAUCAUAUGNCAUUCACAUGCAAUUCAAUCAAUCAUCAAGAUUAAGGCAAUAUCAUUCGUGUUUUCCUGUGAACAAUACAUACAACAAUAAAAACUCUGGAGCUCAAUACCUCACACAACAUGCUUUCUCACACAUCAUUCAUUCAUACACCCUACUUAGCAUCAUAGCCACAAUCAUAAUUUAUCACACAUUUGUUCACAGAGUUAGUGAACGUUUUUCCUAGAUGUCAACAUGCAACACAAGUCAACUAUCAUCCACAUCCAAUCAUCAUCAAAUAGACUAAUCAUGCAUGUUAUUCAGUCAAACAUUGUCAGAAAAUACAAAUUCAACCUAUUCUAGGAAUUCAAAGUACAAAAGUGCAAGAAAAAUAAAACCCUGUCUACAA
rnacentral:lncRNA from 1 species